GGUUUCGCUUCUUCAGCGCAUUUGUAAGUUUGGACUUUGGUUGGGUUUCUUUCUGUAUUUCAAUCGGAGUAUCACUGCGUUGAAAUCUCAGGGCCUGACAAGAUCCUGGUGUGAUAACUGGAUUCAUUUUGAUGAGACAGACAAGUAACUGUUUUUUCCUCAUUAUUUGUUGUGAUGCCAUCUACAGCUUCCUCUGGGUAAGUAGGCUGAGAAAAAUGGCCAAUGCUCGAAACUUUAGCUUCAUUGUCUUUUCAUGGUGGAAAAUUGACUGUUAUCAGCUUGUUUGAUUCCUAAAAAUUUCUGCAUCCUGAUUGGCAGAGAGCCUGUCAAUUAAUCCCAAACAGUGCAAAAUGUUUUGAGUGCAGCAAGACAAAAUUACUACAAAAAGUUGAAAUUAAAAAUGAUUGACAGGUACCUUGGAAAACAGUAACAAAAAAACGAAAUGGCGGACAGGUUUUCUGAGAGCAACAUCUUAAUUCAAAGUUUAAAGGAUGAUGCCAAAAACAAGAACAUGCAAAGUGGAAACAACUGGAUAAUGGUUUGGAUCAAUCGGAUUCUUGUAGGUGGAGCGUGUUAACCCCGUAAGGCAAAAUAAAAACAAACUGUCAGCUGUUUGUCUGAAAUAUUUGUACAUAUAUUAU